rnacentral:lncRNA from 1 species
CAUUAUUGACAUCUAAGAAUCACCGAGAGACCUUUAAAACUAAGAGUAAUUAUUAUGUGAGGGUGUCGAGAUGAGAAAGAGGGUUGAGAGCUAGGAAGGAAGUUGAGAACAAAUAGAGGAUGGGGGAGUGUGAGGAGAGAGAGAUUGAGACAAUAAAGAAAGAGCAACUAAGAGAGGAGAUGACUUUGGUAAGUGAAUUGAUAAUUGAUAAUGGUUCUUGACGAGGCUUCGAGCUU